rnacentral:rRNA from 1 species
GAUGAACGCUGGCGGCGUGCCUAAUACAUGCAAGUCGAGCGAACGGACGAGAAGCUUGCUUCUCUGAUGUUAGCGGCGGACGGGUGAGUAAGACGUGGAUAACCUACCUAUAAGACUGGGAUAACUUCGGGAAACCGGAGCUAAUACCGGAUGAUAUUUUGAACGGCAUGGUUCAAAAGUGAAAGACGGUCUUGCUGUCACUUAUAGAUGGAUCCGCGCUGCAUUAGCUAGUUGGUAAGGUAACGGCUUACCAAGGCAACGAUGCAUAGCCGAUCUGAGAGGGUGAUCGGCCACACUGGAACUGAGACACGGUCCAGACUCCUACGGGAGGCAGCAGUAGGGAAUCUUCCGCAAUGGGCGAAAGCCUGACGGAGCAACGCCGCGUGAGUGAUGAAGGUCUUCGGAUCGUAAAACUCUGUUAUUAGGGAAGAACAUAUGUGUAAGUAACUGUGCACAUCUUGACGGUACCUAAUCAGAAAGCCACGGCUAACUACGUG